AAAUAGUGCUGCUAAGUUGACAAGUUACCGGGCUUAAAGUUUUUGAUAGAUUUACUUUAAAACAUAUAUCAUGAAUAUGUUGGGUUCCUUCUGGUCCAUGAGAUUAGUAUUGGACCUUUAGGGUUAGUGAAACACAUAUAUAUAGUCUCUUGACCUAAUUUUUUAUGUAGAGACUUACAAGAAUAAAAAAAACAAAAGAGAGAAAAAAAGAAAGGAGACAGAAUUUCGUCUGGAUUUGUCAAAGCAGAUUUGGAGGGUCAAACGGAUCCUGAUCGGACUGAUAUUUUGUGGGAAGCUUCUUCAGUCAGUGAGUUAAAGGUUCACCGAAGGGAUUUAGAUUUCAACGGUUGGAUCUUCUGUUGUCUGGGUUUUAGUGAAGCUGGUCGUCACAGUUCUUCAGCAGUGCUGUCUUGAGUGAUUGGUAAAUCCGACGAUUCUCACAAGGUCAGGGGAAACACGAUUGCUACAUUCCGCUGCGCUUCGUGUCCGCUUUCCCAACAGAAUACGAAUCGACCAGCAUGCUCGGCGGUUUUUUAAGAUUGCAGGUCGUAUUUUUAAUAAGUAAAACAAAACAACUCGACCAGCAUGCUCAGCGGUUUUAUAUCGCUUCAGGCAUGCCGCAUGCAUAUCAGUCUACCUCAUGCAAUGUAUAUUAAACUUGAAGUCAUGGAUUUUAUAAAAUGUUUCUUAA